GGGAAAAAGUUACAGAAAACGAAGGAAAAUAUUUUGAUUAAGUCCGCAGGUAGUUUCUGCUACUUUUUGCAGCGGGGAAAAGCCGCGAGGAAAAUGCAGGACCACAGAGAUGUCGCGCCACGAGAGGAAAGAGCAGGACGGGCUCGGGUUAAGGAAGGUGUGACGGAAAGCAGCGGCGGCAAAGCCGCGACAUAUGGAGGAAAGACCAAAGGCCAGAGAAUUGCCGGGUGCAGCGCGAGCCAGCGCGAGAGAGGGCGAGGGAGGAGAGGAGGAAGGGGGAAAAAAACGCAGGGAUCCGCGCGGUACUCGCGCUCGCUCGCUCGUCAGCUCCGCCACGCAACAAUGCACCACCUUGCAGCCGUGCACACCGUCUCUUUCGCGUUUGCUUCUUUCUUGCCUCGGGCGCGGAUGCUCUACUCGGACGUCCCGCGCGUCCGAGCCGCGAUCCGCGACACGGCAGGAUCUCUUGAUUUUCUUGGUGCGUCGCAUUCCGCACCGAAAUGCGAUCCGUCGCGAAAAUACUGCACUAUUGUAUGGCCGACACGUUACGCAAGUUAGUGAUCAUGGUUUCUCGCGCACUUUUCCGAAUCCUUCAAGUCUCUGUUAUACGUUGGUCGGCUACUUGGUUACGCGCCAGAAAUUCAUAAUCGCGAUCUUAACAAGGAAAGUUGCGCAAAAAGCGACUGAAAAGUUGCAAAGUUUGGAUUGCGAGCGUCGCUCCACGAUCCACGGCCGCCUGGAAACCCUUCCACGUCACGCCCGCCCACGUCUCGAAGACCACUCAUAAUUACCAAACUUAAUUUGCGAAUAACGAUUUAAUUUGGUUCUCGAAGAUUCCUCAAAGUUUGUCCAUCACGCGCUACGUGCACACGCCACUCAAAAUUCUGCAGUAAUUACCGCAAUUAGGAUUAACUCCUCAUCAUCGCGGUUUUAAUACUUGCGGAUGUGUAGAUUCUUUUUUUAUGUUAUAAAGUUAUCCGAAAGUGCAACUAAUGGAAACUGAAAAAUUUUAUUUCGUCUUUGCAACACGAAUCAAGUGUAAUUUUUUAAGAACCUUCUCUCUCUCUCUCUCUCUCUAUUAACGCUAGAGUUGUCAGUAUAUUUGAACAUUUUAAUUUCAUAUUGAAGGCAACAUCAAUGGGUGCUCGCUUUUUCUUUGAUUUGUUCCUUACAUCCCGCAGAUAACGAGUAUCCUUACUCAUUAACGCACUACGCGAAUGUUCCAAUAUUAAAAUCAAUACACGUACACGUACGCUUGCGAUAUCGAUGACUGCUGAAAUACCGUGCAAAGUGAUGUGCCGCUUUUACUAGUAAUCGGUUUAAAAGAUAUUCCCUGAAAGCCCCCGGUCUGCUAGUAAUGCCAAAGAAAAUCUUUUUUCUCUCCUCCGCAUUGAGGAUGGAAAUUGUGGAAGGAUAAGGCAUCAUAUGCGAAGAGAGAGAGAGAGAGAGAGAGAAUGAGAGGCGAAAGAGAGAUAGAAAACCGGAGAAAGGAAGAGAAAAAGGGAGGAAAGGAGGAAAAAGAGGGUGGUCGGGGGAGGGACGAGGGUCUGUAACUUAUUGAAUGAGGGCGGUAUGCAGCGUACGUGAGAGGGUAGCGAAAUGGGCGAUGGUGAUGGUGGGUCGACGGGAGGGAAUGGAAGAAAGGAGGCGAAAGGUUUCUUACGCGGCUGCCUCGCGAAAGGGAGAGCGGCGUUCUCGCGCGGGAACGAGCAUCGGGGCAUCGCGACGCCGAGUUUUUUAAUUAGCAGUCUGUGAUCCUUUGAGCGAUUUUUUCCUCGUUUUUCUUUUCCUUUUUCUUUUUUUUCAGUUCGUUCCUCCCCCUCCGCCCCUCGGCGUCUGGCCCGCCGCGCGAGCAAGUAAAUCUACCCUUCCGCGCGAACGACACAGUCCGGAUUGCGUGUGCCGACGCGCAUUCGAUGCUCCCGACGACGGUUCCACGACUGUCACGUUCCCAUAUAUUUGUUUCAUUUCGCCUCUUCUCUCCUCCUCCUUCUCAACUCACCUCUCCGUCGAAGACAUUCGACUUCAGAGACGCGAUUCCAUCCCUGAUCCCAUCCCUCUUCUCUCGUCUCGCGCCCUAGCGAAAUCCAGGCGACAGAGAGGCGAGGAUACUCCCGCGGGAGGAUACUUGCAUCGUCUCUGAGUAAUUUGCUAAGAAAGUCUCGGCUGUAACGGCAAGUGAUCAAAGCGAGGAAAUGAGUAACUUUGUGAUCGGGUACGAGGUACUCCGCGCAACUUCGCCCGAUUCCCAUCUGACUCGACAAAUGCAAACGCCAGGAUUUUCAUCAAGUUAGCCAUAAAUUUUUAUCGUAUUCCGAUUAGCAACUUUUCUGAUAUAUAGUAUAUUGUACAGGUAUCCGAGUCGUGAUGAUUUCACGAGGAAGGAUAUACAAUAUUAAAAAGAAAUUGAAAUUGAAAUUUAUCAUAAAUUUUACCGUAAAUAAUCGUGCAAUCGAAAUAUUUGGUAGAAAGGAUGUAUAAAUGCGUGAUAUGAUUAUAAACAUAACGAAGAAUAUACUUUCUUAUUUUGUUAUUCUGUUACUGAUACAUGCACAUGUUCUUUUAAUAGCGGUGAAGUUUGUUUGCCACUGACGCCUUUCGAUUCUGCUGUCCAGAAGCAGAAUUAAAAUCAUCGUGGCUUUAAUAAUUACCGUUGGCUGAAUACGUUAAAUGAGGCGCGGGUUGCAACCGGGGCUUUUUGCCCCGUUUUACCCUUUGGUAUUAUUUACAGCCCGAGUUCACAAUGAGCGUCGCUGGUGCACAAGAGAGAAAUCAGUUUACUCGUUGCCCGCUGACGCUGCGCGCCGUGUUGAGAGAAGAUAAAUGCGAAAAUUGCAAAUCGGGAUGGUGGAGAGACGUAAAUGGUAUUUAUGACGUGACAACACCAUGUCCGCCUCAGGAAAAAUGCUGUUGAUAAAACUGCAGUGGAAUGUUGAAGGACAAAUGCCGGCGAUAAAAUAAAUUUUAACGUCGCGUUAAUUGCAUUUUUAUUUAACAUUUAUACUUGCGGCACAUGUACAAAAUAUAUAUGAGGUAAUCGUAGAAACUCUUUAAUAACACACGCGUCGUGUAAUAUACAUAAAUUAAAACGUAUUCAAUGAUGAUUGCACUGGGAAAGAAAUCUUUGCCAUUUUAUUCUGAAACUAUUGUUUAACACUCUUGAGAAAGAUAACGCUAUAUACAGAUAUGUAUAUUUACCUAUUGAAAAUCGUAUUUUCUUUAGUUUAAGUUUUCUUUAAAUAGUUUUCUUUACCUUAUACGCCUUUUUUUAAAUCAAGAUGAAAAUAUAUCAGAGAAAUCUUGAAAAAUGUGAAGCAGCACUUUAUCCUACAAGUGGUCAAUAUACAUCAAUAAACUUUGUAAUAUUUCUGUUACGUCAUUAAUUAAUUAUAUACAGAAUAAAUUAAUAUACAAC
rnacentral:lncRNA from 1 species